rnacentral:rRNA from 1 species
UACAGAGGUCUCAAGCGUUGUUCGGAUUCAUUGGGCGUAAAGGGCGCGUAGGCGGCUCGCGAGGUCGGGGGUGAAAUCCCACGGCUUAACCGUGGAAGGGCCUCCGAUACCGGCGGGCUGGAGGAAGGUAGGGGUGCGCGGAACUUCUGGUGGAGCGGUGAAAUGCGUUGAUAUCAGAAGGAACGCCGGCGGCGAAGGCGGCGCACUGGACCUUUUCUGACGCUGAGGCGCGAAAGCCAGGGGAGCAAACGGG